ACCUCUGGACUGGGGAGAGCGUCGACCUCUGGACUGGGGAGAGCGUCGACCUCUGGACUGGGGAGAGCGUCGACCUCUGGACUGGGGAGAGCGUCGACCUCUGGACUGGGGAGAGCAUUGACCUCUGGACUGGAUGAGGCGUCGACCUCUGGAGUGGAUGAGGCGUCGACCUCUGGAGUGGAUGAGGCGUCGACCUCUGGAGUGGAUGAGGCGUCGACCUCUGGAGUGGAUGAGGCGUCAACCUCUGGAGUGGAUGAGGCGUCAACCUCUGGAGUGGGUGAGGCGUUGACUUCAGAACACGAGGAGGCUUCGACUACAGGACUGGAAGAGGCGUCGACCACAGGACUGGAAGAGGCAUCGACCACCGGACUGGAAGAGGCGUCGUCCACAGGACUGGAAGAGGCGUCGACCACAGGAUUGGAAGAGGCGUCGACCUCCAUCGACUCCUGGUCCGGAGGCGUCAACUUCUGGUCUGGGGGCGUCGACUUCUGGUCCGGGGGAGUCGGCUUCGGGACCGCCGGCCUCUGGACCACCGACUUCUGGGCCGGAACCGCUGAUUUCUGGACCGGAACCGUCGACUUCUGGACCGGAACCGUUGACUUCUGGAUCGUCUAUUUCUGGACCGUCAACUUCUGGUCUGGGGCUGUCCACUUCUGGUCCGGAGGCGUCGACUUCUGGUCCGGGGGCAUUGUCUUCUGGACCGCUGGCUUCUGGACCGCCGGCCUCUGGACCCCCGGCCUCUGGACCGCCGGCCUCUGGACCGCCGGCUUCUGGGCUGGAAUCGCCGACUUCAGGACCGCCGACUUCUGGGCCGGAACCACCGAAUACUGGACCGGAACUGUCGACUUCUGGACCGGAAUCAUCAACGUCUGGAGUGGAGGCGGAGCCACUGCAGGAGGGGCCGCUUCCUUGGCUGGUACCGCCGGACUGGGCGCUGACCACUGGACAGGCUGGCCUGGGGGCGGAGCGUCCUGGACCACCGCUGGAACUGGCGCUGACUGGACUGGUGGCACGGGACCUGGCGCUGACUGGAUUGGUAGCGCGGGACCUGGUGGAACCGGUAACUGGAAAAGCAGGGAGGAUAGCUUGUCCAGUUGGAACUCCUCGAGACUGAGGAUCUGA
rnacentral:lncRNA from 1 species